UGGAUAACGAGUUCUGACACUGACUCACUCCAGCAUUCUACCAUCUUCAUGAGUUCAACCUGGAAAUGUGCCAGAGUUUCCUGGAAAGAUAAAUGGAGCAUGGAGCUUAAUGAAAAUGUGAGAUCUUCUGUUUUCCAGCACGCUGAACACGCAGCAGCCCGCUCUUACAUCAAACGCACAGAUUGGGCCUUCUGAGACAGCCAGAGGUCAAAGAAUUAUUUUUCUGGGUAGUCACUCUGAAAUUCUACUUUUGCCACAAUGACGCCCUGCAGUUGGACCUGUGAGGACACACUCAUGAUGAAGCAAGGGAGAGUGAAAAGUUUUCUCUUUUUUUUUUUUUUUUUUGGUCAAACUGAACUCUCCAUUUAAACUGUUUUUAUUACAUUUCUUUCAUUAAAAAGUUACAAUAUGCCAAAAAGUGAAACUAUAAAAGCAAUUGUUUACAUUUUUUAGAAACACAAGUAAGUCCUUGCUAAACUAUGUUUAUGCAACAAUUUCUAUAAUUCUGUGUUCCAUUUGUUUUUACAUUUUACAACAUGUUAGUUUUUCUAAUAAA